AUUGAACGCUAGCGGGAUGCCUUACACAUGCAAGUCGAACGGCAGCACGGACUUCGGUCUGGUGGCGAGUGGCGAACGGGUGAGUAAUGUAUCGGAACGUGCCCAGUAGCGGGGGAUAACUACGCGAAAGCGUAGCUAAUACCGCAUACGCCCUUCGGGGGAAAGCAGGGGAUCGCAAGACCUUGCACUAUUGGAGCGGCCGAUAUCGGAUUAGCUAGUUGGUGAGGUAAUGGCUCACCAAGGCCGCGAUCCGUAGCUGGUUUGAGAGGACGACCAGCCACACUGGGACUGAGACACGGCCCAGACUCCUACGGGAGGCAGCAGUGGGGAAUUUUGGACAAUGGGGGAAACCCUGAUCCAGCCAUCCCGCGUGUGCGAUGAAGGCCUUCGGGUUGUAAAGCACUUUUGGCAGGAAAGAAACGGCGCGUGCUAAUACCAUGCGCAACUGACGGUACCUGCAGAAUAAGCACCGGCUAACUACGUGCCAGCCGCCGCAGUAA
rnacentral:rRNA from 1 species